AGCACCGUUGUCCCGACGUUCUAACUCGUCCGUUCGCAUACGUAAAUCGGGUUGCUCCGUUUACGCUUCCGAGUCGAGGAUCCGUUUCGCCAAUUAAAAUUGUUCCUUUUGUUUUCCCCUCUUUCGUUCCGCUUCGAAUCGUCGAUGUCUCGACUACCGACUUACCACCGAACGAAGCGUGAAAACGCUCUGAACAGGAUCGCGUCGUCGAAACGGAAAAAAAAGGAAGGAUUUUGUUGGUCGUUCGGGGGCCCGAAGCACCCCCGACUCGGUCCUGGACCAAGCCGGCCUACCGGAGAAAGAAAGUGCCCCUACUGCGAGAGAUCGAGGUCGAGACUUUGCGCGCCGAUGCUCUUUUACGACCUCCGUCUACGGGCGUCUCUUCCUCUCUCUUUCUUUCCUUCUCGAGAACUCUGUUGCUUGUUCGACAAAGGAGCGGCGGAGAGGUGGAAGAAAAGGAAACGGCUGCGUGCAUGGUUGGAAAGGUUCCUCCGAAACUGUGCAAGGUCGAGGACCAUCCGCGAAGAUGCUUCGGUGCGUGUCCCGAAUGACUUUUCGAUCGUAAGAGAUCACCGAAGAGAAAUUCUCGAACCGGGUCGCGCGCGCUGUUCGUACGACCGUUUCGGCGUGUUUCUCGCUGUCGUUCCGCUGCAACGUAGCAAAAAGGUUUUGCGAAAUCGCGGCUCGUGGAUACGCGCGCGUUUACGAAACUCGUUUCGGAGCGAGGAAAGGAGAGUCGCGAAAAGUUGGACCGUUCCCGCGUCCUAUUUUCCCCGUGCAGGAAACGCGACGGCCGAAAGUUUGCGCGAAAACUCGACGAGAUUCUAUUACGGCCGUAACCGAUCGCGCAUUCAUCCUCGAUUUGCACGAGCGCCGUUUCCAUUCGCGGUCCUUUUGUUCGUCGAUCGCUGGAAGUAGGCAGUCGUCGCUACGAACGAUACACGUGUCUGGGAUUAAUGUAGGCCACCGACUGCGACGUUGUUGUCGUCGUUACACGGUACGGACAACAUCGUGCCUGUUGCUCGUCCGUAAGCCGCUGUAUCGAUAUCGGAUCGCGGACAUAUCGCGAUCGAGUGUACCUAACCGAUAAAACGCGAUUAAUUCUGCUUAUCGACGAACGGUUCGAACCGAGUCUCGCUGCUCGGCGUAACCCACCGGCCUACGGUUCUUUCCCUCGACGAUGGGUCGUUAGUAUUCUAACAACGACCGGAUACGUUUGAGAUAUUUCUCGAAGGUGGUGGUAACCGUUGCGAAGAUUUAUGCAGCCGUCAAUCAGGAUCGUCGCUGGUCGCUAGGCGUGAGCCGCGAAUGCGAAAUACAGCUGCUUUACCUAACACGCACCUGCUGCACCCGAGAUUCGAGAUUUAUACGCGGGGCGUUUCUAUCGCCAUUCGCGUUCGAACUCUCGCGAUUCAACGCGAAGUAAAACUCGCUAUCGAUUGCGCGUAUCGGCGUGGCAUUUCGAGGAAACGGAUUUAGGUUUGUUUGGCUGUCUCUGAUGCAAUUCGCAAUCUCGAUGCAAACACGAACUCCUUAUCGAAGAAAGGAAUGCGAACGAUCAGCUUUGCUUGUUCGUCGAGCAAAUUUUCGAUCGCGCAAUCGUAGCGGGAAAAACGUACACGGAAAAAGGGUCGUCGCGUCACGAGUAUCGAAAGUGUUCGCCGAAGCGAAAGAUAAGUGGAGGUAAAAUCCAGUCGCGUUUAACCGUGGCCGUCGAGUUCGCAGCCACGAGAGUCGUCAGAGCGACGCCAUAAACGUCCGCGAGAAAGGGGUCUUGGUAUAAAUAUUAUGGCUAUAUCGGCCUACCCUACAGCCUGUUAUUCGCAAAUGUAAAUAAACUCGAACGAUACGUUCGUGAUUUCGUUGCCACCAAUUAAGAGAUUCUACGCGCGUAAUCAAUAUUUGCUCUUUCUCUUUCUCUUAUUCUCGGAACAUACGCUAGCACCCUUUAUCGCCGCACGGUUGCUAUUGCGAUUUGUCGUCGCAGCUCGUAUUCGUCACGGUUCUGGCAUUUCGCGUCGAUUUACUUUUACCUCGCACCACCACACACGCUCCCGUAUCACGAUUCCUUUACCUUCCAAGACCGUGUAGAACGAAUGUCGUUUCGCGUUCGACGCUGGUCAACAAAGAAAACCCCCUUGACGUUUCUUCUGUCUGGAUCGUUAACGCGAUCUCCCGCCUCGACGAUCAUCGUUGGGAAGGUCAAUUGCUUUUACGCGCGUUUCUUCGUUAGCGCGAUCCUCGCGAUACCGCGUUACCUUCCGACCGAGAUGUCAGUAUUUUCUUUCGCGCAAACCGAUGCACGAGAAAUUCCGUGGAGUCCUCAGGUGGUAGACCGAUUUCGUUUUUAACGAGACGUCGUUCGAGAAGCGAAUUCGAUCGGUAGAAUUUGUCGUUUCGGAGUAGCGGGACGUCGCGACGCGACGGGACAGGUGCUUUUUACGGUAUCGGGUCGCGUCUUAGAAUACACGGGAACAAGUGGGGGUCACGUAAGGCGGCGGAGAGCGAGAGAGCGAGAAAGUUUAGCGUGGGUUGAAAAUAGCUUGUGGCCGGACUGAAAAUGCGGAGAGCGUCCGCUAUGCACUUGCCGCUCGAUAUUUAUAUCCUUAUAAUAGGUAGGCGCGUUACAACGUAUCGUCUUUGCUCCGCCAACCGAACAAACGAUUAAACGAUCGCGCCUUUCGCUCGGACGAUGCGACGAAACGAGAUCGCGCUGAUUUUUUCUUCUUUACGGGGCUCGUAAAACCUUUACGAGAUACAGGAUUCGAGAUUUCGUAAAUCGAAACUGGUUGGCGCGUCGAAAGUGGUGGCGAGUAACGAAGGAAAACUCGAACGGCGGAUUCUCUGGUUACGUCCAGAAGGAAUGCUCCGGUUGCAGCGGACGAGGCAACGCGACAGAAACGGGCAUGCCAUCUGGAAAGUAACGGUAACGGCACCUGCAAUUAGCGCGACAGCCUGGCUGCCUACUUGUUCGAGUGUUGGCUCGCACGAUCCGGUCGUCGAUGACCUUCCUGCGACGGGGGGAAAACGAGAUCUCGGGGUGUAUCGCGAUCGCUGCAUGGACCUCCUAGGAAAAGGAUCGCGAGCAUCCGGUUUCUUCUCUUCCGUCGCGGCCUUUCUUCUACUCGGUUAAGGACGCCGCGUUCCACCCUUUUAAGCUCGAACGUCUUUCGGAGUAUUUAACGUCCCCGACUAGCGUCGCUGUUUUUUACCCGAUAGGAAUCUGAUAUAUCGUCUCGACGAAGAUCUCGAGAAUCUCGGAAGGUUCGCGGCUCGUAAAAGAUUUCCCCCGAUCGUCAUCUUCGAUCUGGAUGUUGCUGCGGGUCGGCGUUACGAGCCGAUUCUUUCUCGAUUUUCUUUCACGUACCCUCCACUGAAUUUUGAGCCGCGACGCAUUCCGAAGGACGCAGCUGCCUUCGAACGAGCAACAGCUGUUCCCCCGUGCUUCCAUUGGCUCGAGCAGCCCGUACGUACUUACGGACGUCUGUUUUCCAGGAUACUCGCCGUGCCUUCGUGGUUCGUCUUUUCGCUUAGCAUAACAAUGCCCCUUCUUUCGAAACGCGGAAGGUCGUAGGAUUUACUAAAAAACUUGGCUCUCGUAAAACGAUUUCCGCUCGCCGUUUCUCUAACGAUCCGUCGAACGGUGGUUAAUUCGAUCGAGCGAAAUUGCGACGAGUUCCCUCGUCGUGACUCGACGGGAUACGAGGUCCGCGCACGACAUCUUAUUAACAUCCCUUCUGCGCGAUGACGGCGAUUAUCGCCGAUACAGAUAGCUAACGAACGAUAAAGCGGUCGUGGCGUUCCCGUGUCGAGGGCUCUUCAGCUUCCCGUCGCCUUAAUUAUAUUUAUCGGUUUGCUCGAUCGGAACGGUCGCCACGCCGAUCUCUCGUGGAUCGUCGCGAACUCCACGGAGCAAGAGAAAAAAAGCACGGUGGCUGGAUCUUCACGGGUGAGAAAAUACGAUGGUAUGCCGCGAGCACGCGCUGCAUCGACGAACAAACGUUGCCUUCUUCUCAAGGUCGUCGUGAUCAUUGUCCGUUCACCGGUACGCUGCUCGCUCAUCCGAUCGAUAGCUCUGUUCCCGGGGAUCGUGUUGUACGAGUCGGUGGAAGCCACCCAGAGUCACGGAUGGCCGUGUUUCUCUUCUCGAGAAAUAACCUGAAAUUCCAACGAUCGUUAUUCAGCCGCACCGUAUUUAGACAGCCUGGCUAUUCGUGCCAGUUACAAAGGAACGCGUACUCGGCCAACUCGUUUGUCGCGGUAGUUUUCUUUCGACCGCUCUCCGAACGAAGACGUCUCGUCGCUUAAUUUCGAGCCAACGUCUCGAGCGAUCUCGAUCGCGGAAAAAUUCAGCAGAUCGCGGUAUCUGGCCGGUAAUCGAUAGGAACGGAAAGGAAAGUCAGCGAGCCUCGGUCGAGCGAGAAACGUCCUGUUGGAAUGAUGUAUGGAUCGAGAUCGAUCAUGAGCAGGCAACCCGUGGCGGAGUCGGGGGUACCUACAUAGUUGGCGAGAUAUUACGACACAGACUGGAGAGGGAGUCGAGCACGACCGCGACGGAGAAGGGGAUCGUUGCGGAUCGUUCGCGAUCUCGAUGAUCUAUGGGUCACGAUCUCCCACUGUUAGGACGCUUUUUCCCGGAUCGUUGCGGAUCGCGACUUCGAACGCGUUCCGUGGUUUUUCGACCGCUCUAGAAAGUCGUCUCGACGAUAAAGGGGUCCGUCGGUGAAAGAGGAAUACCGCAGGAUCGGACACGUAGGUGGACGAGUUUAUAAAGUGUCCGAUUCGUUACGUUCCUUUUCGAGACGAUCGCAACUUUGUACGGUCAUGGAUCACCUCUCGGUUUCGCGAAACGAGUCCUUGAAAAUCAGAUUAUCCGUUCUUCCGUGGCCUGCUUCUCGCCCACGCUCUCGUUCGAAAGAACCGUUCCAACGAAGCGGACGGGAUACGCGUAAGCGGUUUUGCCAAUGUUUCCAUUCGCAGCUAGACUCUAUCCGCUUUCGGUAUUUUCGUCCGAAUCGGAACGAUCGGAACGUGUCCCUGACGCGUCGUCGCUUCUUUUUGAAACGCCUGGCGUCGAGACGAGUUCUGGUGCACGCUUUCGCGAGCUGGCAGCUGCGAGACGGAACUCGGGGAAAAUUCGUAGUAACGCGUUGUCGUCGAACGCGCGUACGAGAAAAAGAAAGAGAAAGAGGGAGCCGUGUUUGUUCGUUAAGACCCUAUACCCGACGACCUCGUUACUACAACGCGGUCGCUCCCCUUCGGUUUCCGUUCGGUUAACCGUAAAUUACAACCGCGCGACCGGUGUGUAACGAGCAUAAUGGCGACGGUAGCCGGGUGAAGGUCGGCCAACUCGAGCGAACGACGCGAGCUACGAUAACGAUACGAAUCGACGUUUCGUUCCGUUUCGCUAAAAAUCCGUACUGAGAUCUCGUCUCGAAAUCUAGCGACCGAAACGAAAAGUCGACCGCUCUCUCGUAUCGACCGAUCGAUCAACCAUAGACAAGCUUGUCCUUACGCGGCGGCGUCGAAAGAUGAAACGGCGAUCGAGGAUAACGACACGCAGAUUCGAUCAUCCUUGGAGAAGCGGCGCAACGAUGCGUGGCUCCCUUUUGAUUUCGCUUUCUUUCGCUUCGAGAAAUUCUCUCGCGAGAAUAGCCGAUCGACUCUCGAGCCGAUCUCGACGAUGCGACGCGACGGUACGACGCACAGAAAUCGUUGGAAAGUAAGUUGGUCUAACCGUUCCACUCAAAGGCGUCCUACUUUGCCAGCCAUAUCGUCGAUCGUUGCGGUUCCGUGUGUGUCCAUUGUGGCGUGCGUUGGAAAGGGAAUAACCUUGCUCGCAUUUUCUGUCGUGUCGCAAGCUACGUCCACCCCUGUCUCUAUCCGCGUACCGCUUAAACUCUAGUCGAACGGAACCAUUAUCCUUUAAGCGCGUAAGUCGAUACGUUAUCUCGUUUACCGCGGUAAAGCAAUUAAUCCUAUCCUUCUCUCGUUACGUCGUUGGUCGAAAUACGUGGCCACUCGAUUAGGACCAGAAUAAUCGGCCGUGACUUCGAUGAAUCACCGGUAAUUUCCAGCUUUCGAAUCGUCUCGUAGUCCAAUAGUCUGACCCUAAUCGAUCGCGGAUACGCGUCAAGCCGCCUCCGUGUUCGUUUAAUCCGCGAAGCUUUUUCGCUCGAUAUCGUUGAUCCGUCUUCUCGCGCUUUUCCUUCGUCGAGACUGCGCUCUGAUCGGAGAAGUCGAGCGGCGUCGGUAUCGUUGAAUCGCCGCUCCGAAAAGUACGAUCACCCACGCCUCGCAGGAAUCCCAAGGGCGAAACUCUCGAGCCGCUUAUACCUCGGUGGCGAACCGCGAUCGAUAUAGUCGAACGAUAUCGCUUUACCGAUCGUGUCCUCUCUCUUUGCCAGUGUCCCAGAUUCGACGGUAUACGAUGCACUUAGCUACGUCGCUGUAAACACCGGAGCCAGCUGUACACGGCCCUCGUAACGCGAUGCGGGUCGAUCGAUCGGCAACGUUCGGCAAAGGAAGAAGGCCGUUCUGCGACGGGACGGGUCGGUGGUCGUUGCAGGGUGAGAGAUGCGCUAAUUAACGAGAACACGCGAAACAUUCAGCGCGAUUACCGUGCUUGGCCGACGCCACGAUUUCGUGAUUCACGAAGUAUGUGGGGCACGUCGGUUCGUGGAAGUCCGUGACUAGACCGGUGACGAAUACACCUUACCAACGCGACGACUACGAAAUCCUGACUUCGGGUCGCGCUGCUCGAAAGCAUCUUCGCUCCAGCGUUACGUUAAUGACGUCAGAGCCGCGUGAAAGUUUGCCGCGUAACUCGUAUCGCGAUUAUGAAUCGCGUUGUGUCUCGUUCGAGUGCGCGGGCAACGGGCAACGCGGUGAAACGUCUCGAGGAAACUGUAGCGGGUCGGGAAACGGUGCGCGGCGUCGAAACCGAACGAAGGUCUUUUCCGGAAGAAAGGCGGAACGAACUGGUAAGACGAAAAUUUUCCGCGAUUCCUGGAAACCGUUUCGUCGGUUGUCUGUCGACGCACGCGCGCCGCUCGAGCAAUGCCAUAUUUGGAAACGGUUGCAACGAUUUUCGCAAUAUCUCCGUACGUGGUUAACGAGCACGUACACGGGCCGGAAAGCCGCGCCGUGAAAAGUUAACGCGCAUUGUUCGAGAUUCGACGCGUUCGGGCCUUCCCGAGUACGGAAACGAAACCCAACGCUUGUAACGCGACCAUUCGUUCCCCUUGACACGCGCAUUCUUCGUUGCUACCAGUGACGGCGACAGCUGACGAACCAGCCGGCCGAUACCGAUGACCCCCUCGUGUUUCUCGCACGCUAUCCUUCGUACUUCUAUUUCGUUCGGAAGGCUACGGAAAAAUGUGAAACGGUAGCGUUCCGACGCCGCGUGGAGCAACGACGAUGCAAAAACGUCGGCAACGGGAUUCUUUUCUCCGGAAGAAUGCGAAGCGAAACGUAAAAAUUAGAGUCACACCUGCGGUGACUGCACCCCUAUCACGGAAUAUGACAUUCCGUCGUAAGUACUCCGCAUUCCAAGCGGAAAAAGGACGUCGAACCUCGAGGAAGCAAGUGUCCCUGAUAUCGUGUCCUUUUCCGUCGCUGCGUCCGUUCUGACUCGACGUAAAAUAUGAUUUUAGAACAGUAGAGACUAGGGGAACGCGAUCGAUCCCGACGAAAAUGCUUAUACGCGGCCACAUAACGUCCGUGACAUGCACAGGUGUGGCCAGUUAUUCCGCUCGAUUUAUCGCCCUCUUCGUUCGCUGCUGCACAGCGUAAGGUAUCGACAGGGCCGUAGCGACAGCUUUUACGCCCACGUGGGCAGAUUUUUGAAGCGACAUCGAAAUCGCUUUGCCAUAUUUUGGUACUAGACUGUUACUCGAGCAAUCGCACAUUUCUGUAGUUGUCUCUGCGGCUAUGCCCCAUUUCGAAAUCAAUUUCUCCUUCAAACGAGCGUUGCUCGAAUCGUUCCUCGCAUUUCGCAAAGCGUCUUUUUCCUUAAUUUCAACGGAAGCGAAUGUUGCGACAUUGUCCGUUACAAAAGUUGAGCCACCGUGGUUUCGACGCUGUCUUUAGAAAGGAAAAAGAAGAUGGCCGAAAAGAUAAAAGAGGAAGAGAGGGAAAGAGAGAGAAAGAGGAGAAUACGACAAAGCUAGGCGCGAGUCACGAAAGUAGAUCGGAAACGGCCACUCGACCCGACCCGUUAAAACGAGAGGUUUACGUAGUGUACCGAACACGACGACACCAACUGCCUAACUGUCGUUUCCUCGUUCGUAAGCCGUACAGUGCGGCGUACGCUUUAGCGUUCUCGUUUACGAGGUUGGGACGUGUCCUCGUUUCUUCGGCACCUCCUUCCUUCAAAUCGAACGAUCUUGCCGUUUCCUCUUCCGAUAGCUCGACGCACGCGUUUGCAUACAUUAACGGGUUAUCGCGCAACCUCGUUUUCGCCACGAUUUGUCCGUCUUCCGAAGCAAACAUUUGCCUUUCGUUUUCCCAAAUUUUCCGAUCGGUUUUGACGACGCGUUACGAGUGAUGCGACGUAGGUGUCCACGUAGAAGACAAACUUCUAUGCGUACGUAGAAUACGUUAACGUGGGACGGUUGGUCGGUGAUGACCCGAAUGCCGUGAAAUCGCCGUGUGGGACGCGUGUCGCUCGCGGGCCUUUCCUUCGAUUCCACGCACUCCGAUAAUUACGAUUUCACGCGUAAUUAUUCCCAUCUCUACCAUCUUUUAAACUCGCUCGUAACGAUGUCUUUUUCCGUCGCGACAAAAUUCUACCGGAUAAUUGGUCGUUUAUCGGAUCGCGUUCGUACGCAUCGAGCUUGCUAAAAGUCGAUCAAUCGACGAGAGAUCCAGCGAAUUCCACGCGCUUAAACGUAAACGCGGAAACCUCCGGGCAGUCGAGAGAACAUAAACGAUCACCGCUGGAUUACAUUCUGUUAGCACAGUUUUCUCUCCGCGAGACGGUGAACGUCGCCGAGGCCGUAGACGUGGCGCCCAUUUAAACGUUUCUCCGUUCCGCUCGAACCGACUACCUUCUCGACACGAUGGCUCGCCAACGCUCUGUUCGCUCGAUCUUUGCCGUUUCUUCGCAAAAUAAAUAGGAGAGCAACACGAGAAGUUUGUUCCGCGAACUCUGGAGCGAACGAGAGAAGAAACGAUCGAGAAAAACACGAGGAGCGCGAACGAAUCGCGACUCGUUCGACAGCCGUUUAAUCGAGUCGCCUUUUACUUCUCGACGCGACGCGUCCUUGCGUAAACGACUCGAUGACGGCCUUUGUCGUUGUUGUUAUUGUGUCAUCGCGAGUAACGGGCCGUCGCUUCUCGGCCAAGAGGCGGGAGCGGGUGAUUCGAGUCGCGCUGCGCCACUCCGCUCCGUUAAAAGGCAGCCUCGAAAGCGCCACGUGGGCGCUCACCUUCGAUCGCGUGUCAUCGUUUCGCACACGGCAAAACGCGUGCACGCUCGCUCGUGUUUACGCGUCAAAAUUUCACCGUGGCUCGUUCUCGAUUUGCCAAUGUACGUUUUAAUCGUAUACGCGUCCUUUGCUUUCGAUUCUCGAACGUCGCUGUUAACGCCCGAUCUUUGUUCGUUCGAGGUCGUAAGGCGGUCACUUGGACAUUGCCGUCGCACGGCACCUUUCGAUUCGAUUAGGAACGAAAGCGGAGACAGGGUUGCGAGAGUUCCCUCGACAACCCCGUCGCGAGCGCGUUCUUCUUGGCUCCAGAAACCUACAUUCCGGCAAGAGUCGGGAAGAUCGAGUAGAUUAAAGAGCGAAGCCAAACCAGUCCUCGAUAUUGACUCGAAACUGCUCGGUUCGCUCGGCGAACGUCGCAAAAUCGAUGCGUAAACGUCUGGGACGCGACCGGCCACCGAGUCGAGGAAGCGGGAAGGAAUUCUCAAACGAAUCGAGGAGUGAAAUUUUACCGCCUUUCACCGUUUGCGUGCCUUUUCGAUCGAACCUGCCACCGCUGUCUCUUUCGCGUCUCUCCGAUCUUACACCUUUUACGCCGCUCCUCGAGAUCGACCAGAUCGAAAAACGGAAGGAAAGAACACGGUCGUCGACCUUUUGAUCGCUGCUCGUAACGGAUGCACCGAAGUAACGUCACGAUCGCAAAAACUGGCCCGGAUACGCGACGUUCUCGCGCGAGUGCGCGAAUCAUUGCCGAACAGAAGCGGCAACAGAAGCAGCGGUUAAUAGUCGAAGAGAGGGCAAACCGCCAUAGUCUAUUUUUGCCACGGUUUGCUUAUUCUCGUCUCUGGCAUUUUAAUCGAAUAUCCUGUUUGACGAGCAAACAUCGGCCCGCGGAUAUAUUCCGGCGUACCGUUUUCUCUUUGUUCGUUCGUUUUCCACGCCUUUGCACAGUCACCGGAAAUUCUGGCGGAUCACGGAACGAUUCGAGGGGAUCGGUUGGAAAGAGGGAGCGGAGAAUUCGCAGAAGAGCCACGAACGAGAGGGUGGACGAGAGAAAAGAAAGGUGGUCGCGAUAUUCGAUGCUAAAUUUAAAGAUCGAAAGGUUUGGACGAUGGCCUCUCCCUCGGCUCGUUUCCAGAUUCGUCGAUCGCCGGGCGAAUGCACGAGUAUACAAAUAUAUCGCAGGCGCAUGCACGCGCGCAUUCCCUCGACCACGACUGCGGUGCAUUCCUCGAGAGCGAGCACUGCAUUAGCACUGGCGCCAGCGCUCUCUCGACCUCGAGGGAAGCCAGAGAGCCACCCUAGACGGAAAAACGGUUUUUGCGGUUUCAUCCAGUCGUUUUUCUGCGAGCACGUUUCCGAUGCACUCCCCAAGAGGCUCUUCUUACUUCGCCAACUCGACCGACUCGUUCGCGUCGCGUUCCGUCGUUUCUACUCUCUUUUUUAUAAAAACGUUUUUCGUACUCGUGGACCUUGAACCGCGAUCGGUAUACUCGUCGAGUUAGCGACAACCCGAUAACCGCUUUUGACCACUCGAGGGACGAUAACGCCGCCUGUUCUACGAGACGAUCGACGAAAAAUUCCUUCGCCGUUAGUCACCGUUGACGAGGAACGUUCUUUCCGUUGGAACGUCACCGACGAACCAGAAGCGUACGAGCAACGACGACGAGAUUCGAAGCAACUGUUGCCGAAUAGCCGGAGGCAGAGCGAAAGAGGAUAUAAAAGACGUUAGCUCGUUGUAGGAAGUAGGCGACGGAUAGGUGGCAGACGACGCGCGCGCGAGACUCUAAUAAAACGAAACUCGUUUCGUGACCUCUGGUCAGCAUACGGCACAGUAAAUUUUGCCUUCGGCGAAGGACCCGUUUGCCAGGACGUUUCGAGGCUCGACGACAAAGCUACUCGGUCGAACGAAUCGCGGCCUCUCUCGUGGUUUCACCUUUUGUCGGUGAAAUCCUCGUCGAUGGAACGCUUUUUACCUGAAAGAGCCGCAGCUUGGCCGUCUCGUCGCUCGGUAAUACGUCUGGAAUUUUGCUCGAAAAGGCUUUCCCGCAGUGCGGACCGGCAGCCUCUCGACCGGGCCGCUUCGCUCUCUUCUUCGGCACACGGCGGUUAGAGCCUCCCUCGGUUUUCUUUCUUUCGCGAAAACCCGUUCGAGCAGCGUGCGCUGGAACACCGCCAAAAAGGAAAACUACCAGUCCUUUUAUCGCGCGCUUUCAAAGAGUCGUAAUACGGAUCCGAGUAGGCUUUACGCGGAUACUUUUUGGCUACAGUUCACGGUCGCUGCAACUUCGAGUUGCAAGAUUAAAGCGCCGUGAAUGGGCGGCCAAAUAAUCGAGACACGGGUACUCUCCGGUUUGGCCGAUCGCGCGAUCAUGGACGGAGAAACACCGGGCUGCGGAUAAUACGAGUAACCUUCAUCCGUGGACCGUUAUUCUGCCCUGUCGGGCCCGGCGGCUACGGCUAUUCAGGUCUCUGGGUCCCCGAUCGUCGGCGACACCGAACCGAGAACUCGACGUCUCACGCGAGAUGCGACAGCUUCCUUCUAUUAUACGCCCUCUUCGAUCGCGAUACGUUGUUGUCGCGUUCCGUUCUCGUUCUUCGGGUCUCGCGAUUCGAUCCGGAGAAAAGCGCCAGAGGCGAGCAACGGGGGACGAAAAAUCGGGCAUACUUCCGAUACGGUUCGAGGUCAAAGCCGAUUCGUCGACGCGAGAAGGUAUCUCGCGCGAACGUCGCGUCUCGUCGCGUCGGUCUUCCGUAAGUGGGCCACGCGCAAAGUAGGCCUUCUCGCGAACGCGCCCGGUGAACGAAGACGCGUCGUGGCAAUAGCGUCUCGUUUCGACGAAACGCGGAUCGCGUCUACCUUUCGAAUACGAACGGAAUACCCGUGAUUCGGAUCGAGGCGGAUCGCUAAUGGGAUCAAGGAGCAGAGUUCAGGAGGCGUGUGCUCUUCUCUCGAAUCGUUUGUUCUGGCGAGACGGUUGGGCUCGCCUUUGCCACGGAUCGACGUCGACCGAUAAAUCUUGCAGUUGUUCCUCGAACGUUUCCGGGAGAAUGGAACGCGAAGCUAGAUCGCCGCGAUCGUCGUGUACCAUUCCGUAUCGCGAUAAAUCAUGCGCGCUUUAGAACGUAAAAAGUAAGUUUCGAAACGAGCUGGCUGACUCGGUCAACUGGUAGUUCGAUCGGUAGCAUCGUUUCGUCGCGCGACUACGGAGAACCGCCUAGCGGAAGCUAGGCGCGAUAAGCGAUUAUAGACUGGUCGUAUCGCAUCGCGCUCGAUUACGGAAUCUCGGCGUCACGGUAGUGGACGGUUGCGUAAACGACGAAACGAAACACGGUGCAUCGAUCGUCGUCGAUGCUCGAGAGCUAGAUUGCCUUCGAGAAAUCGCGAACGGUCGCGUCGAGUAACGGCCGUGGUUCUCGAAGGAGAGCGACUCGGAGCGACAACCGCCUUUCCCGAUUUCGUCACGAGUGCACUGUUAGAGGCACGGUAUCGUUACCGAACGACUCCGUUCCAUUGCGAACCGUAUCUCUCUCUCUCCCUCUGACUCCUUCUCGACCCAACGUUCAGGACACGCGGAUCCGCGCGUGGGUUCCGCGAUAUGGGCCGAAAGCUGUCGAUCACGCCGCUAAGGACUGUCCAAUUACCGUGACCAAAGCGUGGUAUUAAUGAGUGUACGUCCACGCCGCGCGCAACCAGUUUUGAAAGCCGUUCGAUUUAUAGCCUUGCUUUCGAUUAGCUAUCACCGGUACCUCUGUACCAGCGAGAAAAUAAUAAUCCUUCCGUAGCGUGGAUCUCGAGAUUUCGUCGGUUACGAAGAUAAGAAAAAUAUGCGAUAACUCUAACGGACUCGACGACGAAGCGGCCUGGCAUUAACGCGAAACCGAUGACGUUCCACGAAGAGCGACGGCGAGUCAUGCCUCGGUCGGUUCUCACGAGCAGCCUCCUUUCGUAUGCAGAAGCGAGCAAAGGCACGCGGGAUCGCGUCGUCGAGGAAUUUCGACCGGGCGCGGACGGGCGACGUUGAAUCACGCGUGCGUUAACUCUCCUCGACGUAGCAACGAAUCGCGCGACGUGACUCACGCUCGUGGCUUCGGGGCUCGACUCGAUCCGGUCGAGGAAAGGUACGCGACUUUUGUUUCGUAACCUCGAAUCCGUGGGCAUACCGCGAAACGGUUCCUUCUUCGCCGGGUUCUCGGCGAGGUCGGCCGCGUUCCUUCCUGGAAGACUCCGAUCGAGAGCCGGAGAGCGACGACGGUUGGAAAGAAAAUUGUGAAACGGGAGGAAAGGUCAGUGGCUCGAUCGAGUCGAGUCACGAACGAGGGCCGUUUUCAACGUCGAGGUUCGCCACGCAUCGUGUGCGCAGUGCGCGCAGGUUGCACGCGAAGGGCUCGCGAACGAUGCGUAUCUAUGCCCGACCGGCUGAGUCACGUGGGAAGCAUGCGUGAAGCUAUUCCUCGGCAGGUUCGGCGUUUACCCUUACCCUUCUCUUCUUCCUCCGUCGUUUUUUCUUUCUUUCUUUAUUUCCUCUUGCCGUUUCCAAGCGAGCGAGCAUCGUGCCUCGCCUCUCUUCAUCCCUCUCUCGCUCUUUUUGCCUUUCGCCCUAGCAUCGCGUCGAUCGAAUUACCGCAAAUUGAUUCGGAUGUAUCGAUCGUGCGCGUAAUCCGCGUGCUGCCAGCCAAGCGGUGGACGUUGAUCGAUCCUAGCGGUCGAGCCGCGUCCAUUAGCGCGGCCUGUGAAAAGCUACGGACACGCUCUCGUCCCACGGAGGCUGCGUGAAAUUCCAUCGUUAUCUGUAUCCGUGCUUUAAUGCGGCAACGCUCGUUGGUUAUCGGCGUCAUUACCGAGAGCGGGAGCAACGGAAAAAAUGCUCGAUCGUUUCGCGUACGCUUCCGCCAAGUCAGAGGCCCCAGCGUUGCCGGGAGGAGAGUAUCGAGAUCCUCUCGGAAGAAUUUCAAACAGUCGUAACGCUUUUCUCACGGUACACGAGAAACCUUUAACCCGCGUCGAUGAUACGCAAAAUCGGAGAGGAGACCGUUCCUCGAAGACGCGGCCACGAGAACGUGGAACGCGAGAGGAAAUAACUCGGAUGUUCUACUCGAGAAACUUUAAAGCGCGGUUCAAACGAUUUGUUAGCGGAGCCGCUCGAGGGAAGAGGUUGCCUUCUCGGUGUAACCGACUUAAAUUAUUGGCCGUACGCCUCGGGGUCCCGAUUGAACGUUCAAUUGCGGCCAUUAUGUAAAUAUUUUGCUAAGAAGAUGACAGGAUUAAACCGACCCGCCGCACCGGACCUUCGUGCAAUAAUCGGACAAGAAUGUUCCAAUUAAGUCUCGAAUAGCUCGUAGGUAGAACGCGUGGUCUCGCGCUCAAAAUCAUAAAUAUUAGCGAGUCGCGUUGGCUGCUAUUAAACGUAAUUCCGUAAUGGGAAGAAAAUUUGUUCGCGAAAAGAUAAUAAAAGUUCAUUUUCUCGGAGCCUGAUUCGAUCUGGUUGUUAUCGCGCUCGGCGGAAAAAAGAGAAAGAACGUUUUCGUUGCCGCGGUCUCUCGAGGUCUCGAGUACAAUGCCGCCAAACUAUUUGCACUUGAAUGCCGGGUCUCAUCCGUUUUCAGGCCGGAUGUAGGUCCCGCCUUGCACCGGAUGCGAUCCCUUUGCCGCAUCGACGCGAGCUUCUCCCGAGGUCUCGCUACUCCUUUUACCCUGUUCUUCUGUUGGCUCCGAACCAGGCUCUUUUCAGAACAAUUAACCGAAACAGCGUAAACUCGAGCGGAACGAACUUUCGCGGUCGAUUUCGUUCGUUCGGUGGUCGUCGUAAUCGAGAACGCCCACGCGUUUCACCGGCGAACGAUACGUCUCUCUCAGUUUUUUAAUGGCCGUUAUAAAUCACGAUCGCGUCGGUUUCUCGAGUUGUUUCAUUCGGAAAACUCAUUAAGCCUCUGUCGGUCGGUUCGCCUCGGUCGACGUUAAUAACCGGCUAUGCCCUUUUACCGUUCGCCUUCUCGAAAAAGCUCGCGUUCCUUUUCGCGACCGGAUGAAAUAUUCUUCUAUUCGCUCGUCUCGCGGAUGAAAUUAAUCCGAAAUUGACCGGAUCCGAGUGGCGAAAGAAAAAGCCCGAUUUAUUAAUCAUCGACGGAUAUUACCGAGCGUUCGCUCUCGGCGUAGCGGAGAAGGGAGAGAUAGAUCGGCGACCUCGUAAAAAAGCCCUAAAAGCAAAUUGCUCGGCUCGUAACAGCCGACGGCCAAGUCUAAUCUCGCAGAGGGCAACGUGGCUAGCGUCGGGGAACGAACGAACGAAGGAACGAGAAGGGGAGCAGUUCGCCGGUAGGCCGACGUAAUUAACAAAGUCACGCUCGGUCGACCCGAGUCAAGGCCGAACAAUUGUUUCAUCCCCGCACCGAAUUCGCGCUACACCGACUAGCAGUGCCGAUUUCAGGGCUAAUCUCCGUUCGACCGGAUGUCUCGAUUCGACCGCGAAGAAUGGCUGCUGUGUACGCGAGGUAGCUGCCUACGGCGUUAUCGUUUCGGUCUCGGACGCGAACGGAUCAUUACGCUCGCGCGUUAUCCCGACGGUCGACGAGGAACGAGGAAGCGGCGUCGCUUAAUCGAUAAUGCAUUGUGCCUUCGCAGGAACGCGUAACGCGAGGAGUACGCGUUCGUUGGAAAGCGGCGACGCUAAUAACACGCCGGCCACGAACCGACGUUUCUAGUACGUCCGGAAGAUUAAAACUCGUCGAGUUUUUAACCGUUUCACCGGUUGCUCUCCGGUAUCGGUCGCCGCGAUCGAUCCUUGGACCGGUUUUGAGCUUUCUUCCUGUCUACCCGUUAGAAUCGGCUACUCCGAUUCUUCGAAUCGCUCGAAUCGUCACCCGUUUAUACACGGCGAAAACGAGCAAACGGAAGAGCGACGACACGAAAACGCGAAAAAGAAUAUCGCUGGGUAAUUAAAAUCGAGUGGAAGCAAAUAAAUUGCACGAAACGGCGCUGCGAGGAAGAUGGCGUGGCGAGCGGAGAGCGUAUCGCGAACCGAUCAGGAAAGAAGUUAUCGCGAGUAACGGACGCGGUAGAUCCAGCUUCCAAGAAUAGAGCGUCCUCGCGGAGGUUAACCCCACCUGGAAUGCCAUCUUCUGCUUG
rnacentral:lncRNA from 1 species